UACUCGAGUGGCGAACGGGUGAGUAACACGUGGGUGAUCUGCCCUGCACUUCGGGAUAAGCUUGGGAAACUGGGUCUAAUACCGGAUAGGAGCCAUUUUUAGUGUGAUGGUUGGAAAGUUUUUCGGUGUAGGAUGAGCUCGCGGCCUAUCAGCUUGUUGGUGGGGUAAUGGCCUACCAAGGCGGCGACGGGUAGCCGGCCUGAGAGGGUGGACGGCCACAUUGGGACUGAGAUACGGCCCAG
rnacentral:rRNA from 1 species